GAUGAACGCUGACGGAAUGCUUAACACAUGCAAGUCGACGUGGCGGACGUGUGAGUAAGGCGUAAAGGAGUGGCCUCACAGCAAGGGACAACCUUUGGAAACGGAUGCUAAUACCUGAUACUGUGAGAGAGCUUUGCGUCGCAUUAUCCUGUGGGAGAGGUAACGGCUCACCACGGCGAUGAUGGGUAGCCGGCCUGAGAGGGUGAUCGGCCACAAGGGGACUGAGACACGGCCCUUACUCCUACGGGAGGCAGCAGUGGGGAAUAUGGGACAAGGGACCAAAGUCUGAUCCAGCAUUUCUGUGUGCACGAUGAAGUUUUCGGAAUGUAAAGUGCUUUCAGUUGGGAAGCGGUACCAACAGAAGAAGUGACGGCUAAAUACGUGCCAGCAGCCGCGGUAAUUC
rnacentral:rRNA from 1 species